CUAGUUGAUCCUGCCAGUAGCACAUGCUUGUCUCAAAGAUUAAGCCAAACAUGUCUAUGUACGCAGGGCUGGUAAAGGGAAAGUGCAAGUGGCUCCUUAAAUCAGUUAUGGUUCCUUUGAUCGCUCCCUCCUCUCCUACAUAGAUAAGUAGAUAACUGCUAAUUCUAGAGCGAAUAUAUAUGCGGAGGGCCUCCAACCCCCUUCGCUGGAGGGACCUGCCAGCAUUUAUUAGAUCAAAACCAACUUGGCCAGCCUGGAGGGCAGGUGGGGAGGGGAAGAGGGUUUGGUGAUUCUAGAUAACCUCUGGCCUCUCAAACCCCACCCCACCGGUGGCUUCGACCCAUUACAACAUUGCCCUAUUUAGGACUGAGUAGAUAAUGAAUGGCCUACCAUGGUGAGCACGGGUGAUGGGAAAUAAGGGUUUUAUUUCAGAGAGAGAGUCUAAGAAAAGGCUACCACGUCUAAGGAAGGCAGCACAUUACCCACUUCUGACUUACGAGGUAGUUACAAGAAAAAGUUAAAAGAAAAGAAAAAAAAAAAACCCGCACGUAAGCCAUGAUU
rnacentral:ncRNA from 1 species